rnacentral:rRNA from 1 species
AUGCAUUGGAUAUCAUGGGAUAAACUAGCUACACCGAAAUGCAAAGGUGGAAUGGGCUUUCGUGAUCUCCGCAUGUUCAACCUAGCUCUUUUGGGGAAGCACGGAUAGCGCUUUAUGACUAACCUCAACACUCUAUGCGCUCGGGUUUUGAAGGGCCGUUACUUCCCAGAUUGUGAGUUUCAGCUCGCCACAGUACCAAAAGCCGCAUCUGCUACUUGGCGAGCCAUCGUUGCCGGUCGAGAGGCCCUCGAUGCUGGCCUUAUCAAACGCGUGGGCACCGGUUCAACCAUAUCCAUAUGGGAGGACCGAUGGAUUCCUUCGACAGUAUCUAUGACUCCCAUGCUGAGACCUCAAAAUGCUUUUGUUCAGUUGGUUAGUGAGCUGAUCGACACUGACAACUAG